rnacentral:rRNA from 1 species
AUUGAACGCUGGCGGCAUGCUUUACACAUGCAAGUCGAACGGUAACAGGCCGCAAGGUGCUGACGAGUGGCGAACGGGUGAGUAAUGCAUCGGAACGUGCCCAGUCGUGGGGGAUAACGCAGCGAAAGCUGCGCUAAUACCGUAUACGAUCUAUGGAUGAAAGCGGGGGACCGUAAGGCCUCGCGCGAUUGGAGCGGCCG